ACAGAAAACAGCUCUUUCUUUUUAAAAUGUGUUGAUGAACUGUCCGUCUGACAGUGACGGAGCUUUCUUCAUCACAAAGAGAAAAAUCAUCCAAAUAUUAAUAAUAAAUAAUGUUACUUAAACAACACUUUUUAAAAGAAGUUACAAAGUGCUUCAUGAAGCUAAGAAUUACCAGUAAAACACAAAAACCUGAACUAAAGUAGAUCCAGUAAGAAGAAGCAGUGAGGUUAAUACAUGAAAAGAAUAAACAGAGUUCAGAGAAAUCGAUUGUAAAUAGUUUCUGCUUUUUUCUGAUUGAAAUCA